rnacentral:rRNA from 1 species
UACAGAGGUCUCAAGCGUUGUUCGGAUUCAUUGGGCGUGAAGGGUGCGUAGGUGGCGGGGUAAGUCAGGUGUGAAAUCUCGGAGCUCAACUCCGAAACUGCACUUGAUACUGCCUUGCUCGAGUACUGGAGAGGAGAUUGGAAUUUACGGUGUAGCAGUGAAAUGCGUAGAUAUCGUAAGGAAGACCAGUGGCGAAGGCGAAUCUCUGGACAGUUACUGACACUGAGGCACGAAGGCCAGGGGAGCAAACGGG